rnacentral:rRNA from 1 species
UAGGGAAUCUUCCGCAAUGGGCGAAAGCUUGACGGAGCAACGCCGCGUGAGUGAUGAAGGUCUUCGGAUCGUAAAACUCUGUUAUUAGGGAAGAACAAAUGUGUAAGUAACUAUGCACGUCUUGACGGUACCUAAUCAGAAAGCCACGGCUAACUACGUGCCAGCAGCCGCGGUAAUACGUAGGUGGCAAGCGUUAUCCGGAAUUAUUGGGCGUAAAGCGCGCGUAGGCGGUUUUUUAAGUCUGAUGUGAAAGCCCACGGCUCAACCGUGGAGGGUCAUUGGAAACUGGAAAACUUGAGUGCAGAGGAGGAAAGUGGAAUUCCAUGUGUAGCGGUGAAAUGCGCAGAGAUAUGGAGGAACACCAGUGGCGAAGGCGACUUUCUGGUCUAUAACUGACGCUGAUGUGCGAAAGCGUGGGGAUCAAACAGG